AAAGCUUUUGUUUUCUGGAAGAGCAAGCAUACUGCUAAAUAAAUGACACAAUUGAGACACAAUUGGUCAAAUGUUUUUCAAACAAGCUUAAAAUCAUCACAAGAAUCAUUACAAGACAUGUACUGUAAAGAAAAAAUGAAGAAAUUAAGAAAAAAUGAAAUGGCAAAGUUACAAGGGUUAUGCUUAUGUUCAUUUUUUAUAUCUUAUAUCACAUUGUUAUUCAAAAUGACCUCUACAUAUAUGCUGGAUUUUUUUUUUUUAAAGUGGUUAUUUAAAAUAUUAUUUUUGAAAAAGUUAAUUAGAGAAAUUGAGAAAUGCUACUAUUGUUACACUUGAGGUACACUGUUAAUAAUGGGAUUUUAAAUCCAAACACAACACUACAAAGGUUUUUUUUUAUUAAAAAAAAAAGAAAGAAAGAAAAUGAGUUAACCCCAUAAACCCUGACACUUGGCGUUCCAUUCCGCUGGUGGAAUGGUGCUUUCUGUGUGUGAAGUUUCAUGACUGUGUGCUUAACUGCUGGUGAGCAGGGGGAUGGGAAAGGGGCGGAGUUUGAGCCCCCUGCUGGGCAAACAAUUCACACCUCCCCACGAAAACAUUGAGACAGAAGUAAAUCGGAGAGCACGACUAAAGCUUUUUUGAUAGUAAAACACCGUAUACAACUGCCACAAUAAAAUUAUAACAUUUAAACCAAAGAUCGGACUUGUAUAAAUGUUUACUACCUUAUACUACGUACAUAGACGAAAAUCCAGUUCGUUCGCGGUUUUAUAAAUCAUGCAAAUUUCCAUCGGUAUAAAGUCCGUCAGCUUUAUUGAAGAAAACAAAUGCAAAGUUCCAUAUUUAGUCAUAAAUCUCCUCUUCAAAAUGCAUUAAGUGUUUUGAUAUCCCACCCUUCUCGAAUUUAGUAAUUAGCCAUAAACUGAAAUGAGAUACAUUCUAAAAAAGUUAAUCUGCUUUGGCUAUGCUGAGCAACCCGCCUCCUAAAUUUUAAUAGGGCAGUCUAACUUGAUUGACACCCACAUGGACCAAUUGUAGAUACUUUUAGCUUUAAAAUAAGCUCAAACUCGACAUGAUUGACCACUCAGAGGCUGAGAAAAUCAAAAGCGUAAUCAGCACAAUUAAACAUUUUACACACGCAUCCAUUGGUCUUGAGAUAUGUCAGCGGGUACAGGCCAAUCAGCAAAGCGCUACAGGGCCGUGCAGAGAAACUAUCAGUAAAUGGCUUUUCUGCUCUAGCGGUCUUCCUGCAAAACUUUAUACAGCAAAUUUUUGCAUGUUUGGUUGUUUUUUCUGAUCGCUAGUUUUCUACUGGUUUUUGCUCAGCGUGCGAUUUAUCGGCGUCUUAAAGCGGCGGCGUGCUCCCGAAAAAACCUGAAUGCGUCACAGAUUCUGGAGGAGUUAUUUCGGAGUGGCUCUUUGUUUUUUUUGGAGGAACUCGGUGUGGAUUGAGUUGAGGAAUAUUCCAGCAUGGAGUGGGCACGGUCCUUGGCAGAGAAGAAGAAAAAGGCUCCUGAUCCUCCUCACACUUCUUCUGAGGCCUUCUACCACAUGGAGGUUUCCACUGCAAAACUGACAGCUCUAGCUACCCCCCAGAGAAGUCAGAGGAGAGGGGUCACUCGUGUGUCUAUCAUUUGAGCCAUUAGGAGAGCAAGUGCUCCUUCACCUGGGGCUCUGGCACUAUUUUUAAUAAACAUUAUAUUUUAUAAGUA